rnacentral:lncRNA from 1 species
GAGUUAGCGACAGGGAGGGAUGCGCGCCUGGGUGUAGUUGUGGGGGAGGAAGUGGCUAGCUCAGGGCUUCAGGGGACAGACAGGGAGAGAUGACUGAGUUAGAUGAGACGAGGGGGCGGGCUGGGGGUGCGAGAAGGAAGCUUGGCAAGGAGACUAGGUCUAGGGGGACCACAGUGGGGCAGGCUGCAUGGAAAAUAUCCGCAGGGUCCCCCAGGCAGAACAGCCACGCUCCAGGCCAGGCUGUCCCUACUGCCUGGUGGAGGGGGAACUUGACCUCUGGGAGGGCGCCGCUCUUGCAUAGCUGAGCGAGCCCGGGUGCGCUGGUCUGUGUGGAAGGAGGAAGGCAGGGAGAGGUAGAAGGGGUGGAGGAGUCAGGAGGAAUAGGCCGCAGCAGCCCUGGAAAUGAUCAGGAAGGCAGGCAGUGGGUGCAGGGCUGCAGGAGGGCCGGGAGGGCUAAUCUUCAACUUGUCCAUGCCAGCAGCCCCUUUUUUUCCAGACCAAGGGCUGUGAACCCGCCUGGGGAUGAGGCCUGGUCUUGUGGAACUGAACUUAGCUCGACGGGGCUGACCGCUCUGGCCCAGGGUGGUAUGUAAUUUUCGCUCGGCCUGGGACGGGGCCCAGGCCGGGCCCAGCCUGGUGGAGCGUCCAGGUCUGGGUGCGAAGCCAGGCCCCUGGGCGGAGGUGAGGGGUGGUCUGAGGAGUGAUGUGGAGUUAAGGCGCCAUCCUCACCGGUGACUGGUGCGGCACCUAGCAUGUUUGACAGGCGGGGACUGCGAGGCACGCUGCUCGGGUGUUGGGGACAACAUUGACCAACGCUUUAUUUUCCAGGUGGCAGUGCUCCUUUUGGACUUUUCUCUAGGUUUGGCGCUAAACUCUUCUUGUGAGCUCACUCCACCCCUUCUUCCUCCCUUUAACUUAUCCAUUCACUUAAAACAUUACCUGGUCAUCUGGUAAGCCCGGGACAGUAAGCCGAGUGGCUGUUGGAGUCGGUAUUGUUGGUAAUGGUGGAGGAAGAGAGGCCUUCCCGCUGAGGCUGGGGUGGGGCGGAUCGGUGUUGCUUGCCUGCAGAGAGGGUGGGGAGUGAAUGUGCACCCUUGGGUGGGCCUGCAGCCAUCCAGCUGAAAGUUACAAAAAUGCUUCAUGGACCGUGGUUUGUUACUAUAGUGUUCCUCAUGGCGAGCAGAUGGAACCGGGAGACAUGGAGUCCCUGGCCAGUGUGAGUCCUAGCAUUGCAGGAGGGGAGACCCUGGAGGAGAGAGCCCGCCUCAAUUGAUGCCUGCAGAUUGAAUUUCCAGAGGCUUAGGAGGAGGAAGUUCUCCAAUGUUCUGUUUCCAGGCCUUGCUCAGGAAGCCCUGUAUUCAGGAGGCUACCAUUUAAAGUUUGCAGAUGAGCUUAUGGGGGGCAAUCUUAAAAAGUCCACAGCAGAUGCAUCCGGCUCGAGGGGCCAUCAGCUUUGAAUAAAUGCUUGUUCCAGAGCCCAUGAAUGCCAGCAGGCACCCCUCCUUUCCUGGGGUAAAGGUUUUCAGAUGCUGCAUCUUCUAAAUUGAGCCUCCGGUCAUACUAGUUUUGUGCUUGGAACCUUGCUUCAAGAAGAUCCCUAAGCUGUAGAACAUUUUAACGUUGAUGCCACAACGCAGAUUGAUGCCUUGUAGAUGGAGCUUGCAGAUGGAGCCCCGUGACCUCUCACCUACCCACCUGUUUGCCUGCCUUCUUGUGCGUUUCUCGGAGAAGUUCUUAGCCUGAUGAAAUAACUUGGGGCGUUGAAGAGCUGUUUAAUUUUAAAUGCCUUAGACUGGGGAUAUAUUAGAGGAAGCAGAUUGUCAAAUUAAGGGUGUCAUUGUGUUGUGCUAAACGCUGGGAGGGUACAAGUUGGUCAUUCCUAAAUCUGUGUGUGAGAAAUGGCAGGUCUAGUUUGGGCAUUGUGAUUGCAUUGCAGAUUACUAGGAGAAGGGAAUGGUGGGUACACCGGUAGUGCUCUUUUGUUCUUGCUUCGUUUUUUUAAACUUGAACUUUACUUCGUUAGAUUUCAUAAUACUUUCUUGGCAUUCUAGUAAGAGGACCCUGAGGUGGGAGUUGUGGGGGACGGGGAGAAGGGGACAGCUUGGCACCGGUCCCGUGGGCGUUGCAGUGUGGGGGAUGGGGGAAAUGCAGGUUGAAGGGAAUUCUCUGGGGCUUUGGGGAAUUUAGUGCGUGGGUGAGCCAAGAAAAUACUAAUUAAUAAUAGUAAGUUGUUAGUGUUGGUUAAGUUGUUGCUUGGAAGUGAGAAGUUGCUUAGAAACUUUCCAAAGUGCUUAGAACUUUAAGUGCAAACAGACAAACUAACAAACAAAAAUUGUUUUGCUUUGCUACAAGGUGGGGAAGACUGAAGAAGUGUUAACUGAAAACAGGUGACACAGAGUCACCAGUUUUCCGAGAACCAAAGGGAGGGGUGUGUGAUGCCAUCUCACAGGCAGGGGAAAUGUCUUUACCAGCUUCCUCCUGGUGGCCAAGACAGCCUGUUUCAGAGGGUUGUUUUGUUUGGGGUGUGGGUGUUAUCAAGUGAAUUAGUCACUUGAAAGAUGGGCGUCAGACUUGCAUACGCAGCAGAUCAGCAUCCUUCGCUGCCCCUUAGCAACUUAGGUGGUUGAUUUGAAACUGUGAAGGUGUGAUUUUUUCAGGAGCUGGAAGUCUUAGAAAAGCCUUGUAAAUGCCUAUAUUGUGGGCUUUUAACGUAUUUAAGGGACCACUUAAGACGAGAUUAGAUGGGCUCUUCUGGAUUUGUUCCUCAUUUGUCACAGGUGUCUUGUGAUUGAAAAUCAUGAGCGAAGUGAAAUUGCAUUGAAUUUCAAGGGAAUUUAGUAUGUAAAUCGUGCCUUAGAAACACAUCUGUUGUCUUUUCUGUGUUUGGUCGAUAUUAAUAAUGGCAAAAUUUUUGCCUAUCUAGUAUCUUCAAAUUGUAGUCUUUGUAACAACCAAAUAACCUUUUGUGGUCACUGUAAAAUUAAUAUUUGGUAGACAGAAUCCAUGUACCUUUGCUAAGGUUAGAAUGAAUAAUUUAUUGUAUUUUUAAUUUGAAUGUUUGUGCUUUUUAAAUGAGCCAAGACUAGAGGGGAAACUAUCACCUAAAAUCAGUUUGGAAAACAAGACCUAAAAAGGGAAGGGGAUGGGGAUUGUGGGGAGAGAGUGGGCGAGGUGCCUUUACUACAUGUGUGAUCUGAAAACCCUGCUUGGUUCUGAGCUGCGUCUAUUGAAUUGGUAAAGUAAUACCAAUGGCUUUUUAUCAUUUCCUUCUUCCCUUUAAGUUUCACUUGAAAUUUUAAAAAUCAUGGUUAUUUUUAUCGUUGGGAUCUUUCUGUCUUCUGGGUUCCAUUUUUUAAAUGUUUAAAAAUAUGUUGACAUGGUAGUUCAGUUCUUAACCAAUGACUUGGGGAUGAUGCAAACAAUUACUGUCGUUGGGAUUUAGAGUGUAUUAGUCACGCAUGUAUGGGGAAGUAGUCUCGGGUAUGCUGUUGUGAAAUUGAAACUGUAAAAGUAGAUGGUUGAAAGUACUGGUAUGUUGCUCUGUAUGGUAAGAACUAAUUCUGUUACGUCAUGUACAUAAUUACUAAUCACUUUUCUUCCCCUUUACAGCACAAAUAAAGUUUGAGUUCUAAACUCAUU